AGCGAACGCUGGCGGCAGGCCUAACACAUGCAAGUCGAACGAACUCUUCGUAGUUAUUUGCGGUCCGGUGAUUAACACGUGGUAACUUGCCUUUUGGUUCGGUAUAACUCAGUUUAACUUGUGCUAAUACCGAUUGUGCCCUUCGCGGGUAAGAUUUAUCGCCAUUAGAUCGGCCCGCGUCUGAUUCGCUAGUUGGUGAGGUAACUGCUCACUAAGGCGUCGAUCAGUAGCUGGUCAGAGAGGAUGACCAGCUAGAAUGGAAAUGAGACACGGCCCAGACUGGGACGGGAGGGAGGAGAGGAGAAUAUAGCGGAAUGGGCGAAAGCGUGACGAAGCCAUGCGGGGUGAAUGAUGAAGGUCGUAGGAUAGUAAAAUUGUUUGACAGGGGACGAUAAUGACGGUAAACGGAGAAGAAGCACCGGCUAACUACGUG
rnacentral:rRNA from 1 species